rnacentral:rRNA from 1 species
AGUGAACGCUGGCGGUAGGCCUAACACAUGCAAGUCGAACGGCAGCACAGUAAGAGCUUGCUCUUACGGGUGGCGAGUGGCGGACGGGUGAGGAAUACAUCGGAAUCUACUUUUUCGUGGGGGAUAACGUAGGGAAACUUACGCUAAUACCGCAUACGACCUACGGGUGAAAGCAGGGGAUCUUCGGACCUUGCGCGAUUGAAUGAGCCGAUGUCGGAUUAGCUAGUUGGCGGGGUAAAGGCCCACCAAGGCGACGAUCCGUAGCUGGACUGUGAGGAUGAUCGGCCACCUUGGAGGUGGGACACGCUCCAGACUCCUACGGGAGGCAGCAGUCUUCAAUAUUGGACAAUGGGCGCGAGCCUGGUCCAGCCGUACCGCGUGGGUGAAGAAGGCCUUCGGGUUGUAAAGCCCUUUUGUUGGUAAAGAAAAGCAGCAGGUUAAUACCCCGCUGUUCUGACGGUACCCAGUGAAUAAGCACCGGCUAACUUCGUG